rnacentral:rRNA from 1 species
AUUGAACGCUGGCGGCAGGCUUAACACAUGCAAGUCGAGCGGGGGAAGGUAGCUUGCUACUGGACCUAGCGGCGGACGGGUGAGUAAUGCUUAGGAAUCUGCCUAUUAGUGGGGGACAACAUCUCGAAAGGGAUGCUAAUACCGCAUACGUCCUACGGGAGAAAGCAGGGGAUCUUCGGACCUUGCGCUAAUAGAUGAGCCUAAGUCGGAUUAGCUAGUUGGUGGGGUAAAGGCCUACCAAGGCGACGAUCUGUAGCGGGUCGGAGAGGAUGAUCCGCCACACUGGGACUGAGACACGGCCCAGACUCCUACGGGAGGCAGCAGUGGGGAAUAUUGGACAAUGGGGGGAACCCUGAUCCAGCCACGCCGCGUGUGUGAAGAAGGCCUUAUGGUUGUAAAGCACUUUAAGCGAGGAGGAGGCUACUCUAGUUAAUACCUAGGGAUAGUGGACGUUACUCGCAGAAUAAGCACCGGCUAACUCUGUGCCAGCCGCCGCGGUAA